rnacentral:rRNA from 1 species
GACAGAGGGUGCAAACGUUGUUCGGAUUUACUGGGCGUAAAGCGCGUGUAGGCGGCUUGGCAAGUCGGAUGUGAAAGCCCACGGCUCAACCGUGGAAGCGCAUCCGAAACGGCCUCGCUCGAGUCUCGGAGAGGAAGGUGGAAUGCUUGGUGUAGAGGUGAAAUUCGUAGAUAUCAAGCAGAACACCUGCGGCGAAGGCGGCCUUCUGGACGAUGACUGACGCUGAGACGCGAAAUCGUGGGGAGCAAACAGG